rnacentral:tRNA from 3 species
GGCCCCUUCGUCUAGUGGUCCAGGACGUCGGCCUCUCACGCCGAAAACACGGGUUCGAGUCCCGUAGGGGUCACCA